GGGGAAUAUUGCACAAUGGGGGAAACCCUGAUGCAGCCAUGCCGCGUGUGUGAAGAAGGCCUUCGGGUUGUAAAGCACUUUCAGCGAGGAGGAAAGGUGGCUAGCUAAUACCUAGUUGCUGUGACGUUACUCGCAGAAGAAGCACCGGCUAACUCCGUGCCAGCAGCCGCGGUAAUACGGAGGGUGCAAGCGUUAAUCGGAAUAACUGGGCGUAAAGCGCACGCAGGCGGUCAGAUAAGUCAGAUGUGAAAGCCCCGGGCUCAACCUGGGAACUGCAUUUGAAACUGUCCGACUAGAGUCUUGUAGAGGGGGGUAGAAUUCCAGGUGUAGCGGUGAAAUGCGUAGAGAUCUGGAGGAAUACCGGUGGCGAAGGCGGCCCCCUGGACAAAGACUGACGCUCAGGUGCGAAAGCGUGGGGAGCAAAC
rnacentral:rRNA from 1 species